CACUGGUGCUCCCCUACUGCAGCUCCAGGUACCACUGCAGAAGUCGUAGGUGCACAUGGUGUGGCCGAUGAGCGUGGGAAAGUCGGGAAUCUCCCUGCUGCAGGCGAGCAGUUCCUCUGCGAGGUCCUUGUCCAGCUCGGUGCUCCGCACCACCACAUCGCCCAGCACUACCUGCUCGAAACGUGGCUGGAAGGAGGAGUCCACGGCCGUGUCGGUGAUCACAACAGACCCAGCCUUGAUCCCUGUGGAAAUGGAAGCUGAGGCUGCCAGAGCUCAUAACACCUGUGUUCUGCUGCCAAACUUCAGCACAACAGGAAAAUCUCAAUAGAUCUA